UACGUAGGGGGCAAGCGUUAUCCGGAUUUACUGGGUGUAAAGGGAGCGUAGACGGCAGCGCAAGUCUGGAGUGAAAUGCCGGGGCCCAACCCCGGAACUGCUUUGGAAACUGCGCAGCUCGAGUGCAGGAGAGGUAAGCGGAAUUCCUAGUGUAGCGGUGAAAUGCGUAGAUAUUAGGAGGAACACCAGUGGCGAAGGCGGCUUACUGGACUGUAACUGACGUUGAGGCUCGAAAGCGUGGGGAGCAAACAGG
rnacentral:rRNA from 1 species